UACUGAAAAAGGCAAACUUAUUGAAAGAUAGGGGCGCAAAGUUAUGGGCCUAAGGUAUUGAACUAUGGCAGCCAAACCACCGGU
rfam:Paenibacillus sp. Leaf72 contig_7, whole genome shotgun sequence.